rnacentral:tRNA from 1 species
GCUUGCUUAGCUCAGCUGGUAGAGCAAUGGACUGUUAAUCCAUGUGUCGCAGGUUCAAAACCUGCAGCAGGCG